GACAAGGUCCGCGGUAACUCGCGAGCUGGGGAGGAAACGCAGAAGGACACCUUUGUCCUGCUGAGGUUGUUCCCUGUCUCAGACAGGGAUGUGAAUUCAGCACUUGUUUAAAAAGCAGAAGCAAUAGGCUGUAGGCCUCUGUAUUGUAUACAAAUCUCCCAUUUGUAUACAAUAUAGUCAAUUGUAUACAAAUGACUGGUCCCCCUUGGGGAAAUAACUCUCUCCCUUUUCAAGACCAGAAUUAUUUGAUGCCUUCUCUUAGCUGACAUAGGACUGUUACGUGCUAAAUCAAAAGAACUAUAGUAAGAAUUCUACAAUGUUAGUGUAAAACUAUCAUUUUGGAGAGGAAAUGUAACAAGCCAGGAAAGUGCCUCACCCAAGUCCACCUAACCAUUCUAUUUAUUUAACAAGUAAAUAUCUAGUACUUCUUACGUGCAGGCAGGCACUGUUCUAAGUGUCUUAUGGACUUAAUACAUUAGAUCCUCCUAACAACCUUGUGGGGUAGACUAUCAGCAACUUGUAUAGUUUUGCAUAUUAUAUUAUUAGUCUCAUUUUACAAAUGAGAAAACUUAGACAACUUGCUCAAGAUCAUAUAGCUAGACACUCGGACCCGUGGUUGCAGUUCAGGAACUCCAGCAGAUGUGCAUUCCCGAUGGUGUGCAUUCCUUGCAUCGUCAUUCCGAUUCUGCUCUGGAUCUACAAAAAAUUCCUGGAGCCAUACAUGUAUCCUCUGAUUUCCCCCUUUGUUAGUCAUAGGUGGCCUAGAAAAGCUCUUCGAGAAUCCCACAAUAAAAACAAAGGCAAGGUAGACUGUAAGGACGCAGACAUAAAUGGAUUACCAACAAAAGGACCAACAGAAAUCUCUGAUAAAAAGAAAGACUAAAGUGAUUGUUCCAAAGGAUCUCAUUGUUUUAAAAAUGGACCUGAUAAUAUGAAGCACCUUGCUUAUAAUUGUCUCUGACCUUUUUCUCUGAGACCAGAAUUUGGGAUAGAUAGCUUAGGUACUUACCUGAUACUAAUCAGGAAAUACAUGGUAUUUAUAUUUAAAAUGUGUUUAGUUAUAUUUAAUGAUCUCAUUCCUGAGUUCCUGUUUCAUUAAAGUAGCUUCCAUGUCUAUUAUCGUAGUUAUGAAUAAAAAGAAGGUUUGUGCCAAUGGACACUGCUACUAAACGAGCGCUCUAAACUCCUUGGGCCUCUAGCUUCUUUCAGGCUCUUUGAAUUUGAGCUGAGUACAAUGUUACCGUGAAACAGUGCGGUGAGACUGUACGGUGAAAGGAAAAGGGGUUUGGGGAGAUAAUGAGGACUUGAAACCUAAAAAUGUGAUUACUGUCUGAUACAACGGAGCAGCCUACUUCUGAGCAGUAAUUCCUGCUUAGUGCUCUGAGGAAAAUAGAAAAGACAGGGAAAUCGGGGAAACGCCUUUGAAAAAUGGAAUACCUUUUACAGAAAUAUCUAAUGUAUAUUAUAAAAUUCUAAUCCUUGUUGCAUUUCUUCUGUUCUUACAAAGUAUAUUAAAUAUUC